rnacentral:rRNA from 1 species
UACAGAGGUCCCAAGCGUUGUUCGGAUUCACUGGGCGUAAAGGGUGCGUAGGCGGUCGGGUAAGUCUGAUGUGAAAUCUCAGAGCUCAACUCUGAAACUGCAUUGGAUACUAUUCGGCUUGAGGUCUGGAGGGGGGACUGGAAUUCUCGGUGUAGCAGUGAAAUGCGUAGAUAUCGAGAGGAACACCAGUGGCGAAGGCGAGUCCCUGGACAGAUCCUGACGCUGAGGCACGAAGGCUAGGGGAGCAAACAGG